rnacentral:lncRNA from 1 species
AUCUGAGUGAAUUUUCUGAUCACUAUGAGCUCAAGUAGAAUUGCAGCAACAGCCAUGUGAAAAGAUGGGUGAUGUUCCUUCAAACACUGAGUUAUUCUGGAUAAACCAUUUUAUACACAGAUCCAAGGCUGAGAGAAGAUUUGGUACUCCUCCAAGGAGUACCAAAACCACACCACAUAUAAGCAGAUGAUGUCAUAACCAAAGAGCAUUCAGCAGAGAUGAUCUGUGGGUAUCAUGUGCAGAUGGCACUAUGUGACACUUUGAGACAAGCUCUGAAUGGAUUAAAAGCCUUAGUCUACAUUUCAUCAAGAGAUGUGAUCUUAAGACAAAGUACAUUGCAAAGGGUUAUUUGUUCAUGCCAUAGACAUAACAGAAUCUUGCAGAAACAUCCUAUUUGCAGGUGGCCAAAAGAUUCAGCCUUGAUGAUGUACCCUAAGAUGUGUUGGAGAAGUGUUGAUUUUAAACUGGAAAGGUGGCUCCAAGGAACACAUCAGCUCUCCUCGCUACCUUCCAUUUGCCGUAGCUUUCAGGAAGGAGGCACACAGAGCAAGAUGAAUUACUACAUACACCUCAUCUGAGCUUUUUUUUCAAGUUUACCUCAGCUACAGUCUUCCUGUUGGGCUAUACUCUCUCCUGAUUAGUUAUUUCAAUGUUUCUUCUUCUUUUUUAUUUAUUUAUUUAUCCUUUUUUUUGUUGUUGUUUUGUUUUGUUUUGUUUUUGUCAAACAAAUAAACAGACAGUACCAAAAGAAAAGAAAUCCCA